rnacentral:rRNA from 1 species
AGCGGGAAGUAGUUUACUACUUUGCCGGCGAGCGGCGGACGGGUGAGUAAUGUCUGGGAAACUGCCUGAUGGAGGGGGAUAACUACUGGAAACGGUAGCUAAUACCGCAUAACGUCUUCGGACCAAAGUGGGGGACCUUCGGGCCUCACGCCAUCGGAUGUGCCCAGAUGGGAUUAGCUAGUAGGUGGGGUAAUGGCUCACCUAGGCGACGAUCCCUAGCUGGUCUGAGAGGAUGACCAGCCACACUGGAACUGAGAUACGGUCCAGACUCCUACGGGAGGCAGCAGUGGGGAAUAUUGCACAAUGGGCGCAAGCCUGAUGCAGCCAUGCCGCGUGUGUGAAGAAGGCCUUCGGGUUGUAAAGCACUUUCAGCGAGGAGGAAGGCCAAUAACUUAAUACGUUGUUGGAUUGACGUUACUCGCAGAAGAAGCACCGGCUAACUCCGUGCCAGCAGCCGCGGUAAUACGGAGGGUGCAAGCGUUAAUCGGAAUUACUGGGCGUAAAGCGCACGCAGGCGGUUUGUUAAGUCAGAUGUGAAAUCCCCGCGCUUAACGUGGGAACUGCAUUUGAAACUGGCAAGCUAGAGUCUUGUAGAGGGGGGUAGAAUUCCAGGUGUAGCGGUGAAAUGCGUAGAGAUCUGGAGGAAUACCGGUGGCGAAGGCGGCCCCCUGGACAAAGACUGACGCUCAGGUGCGAAAGCGUGGGGAGCAAACA